ACCAUCACUGAUCUAUUUAACUCUGUGAAGUGUUUGUGGCUUUAAGAUUUUAAAAACAUCAUAAUUUCAGAAGCUGCAAAUACGUUUCUCUCUGCAAAAUGGCGUCGCGCAACUGGCUAACAAACACUGCUAAAAACACGCAAACAAACGUCUAGCUUUUAUGGGACUCCAUUGGCUCACAGCUGGGUACCAAAUUAGGUGUAGGCUUUCGUGCUUCUCCCCGAAGAUUCUUACAACCGUCGACAGCAGCAGGUCCUACAGGGACAGGGAUGUUCCUGCUUUCCAUCUAUGGGUCUCCCGUCCCGCAAGCCCGAUUUUAUGCCAGCAGAGGGCGCGCAAGGAUCCGCAGCGGGGCAAGACAAAUUGGUGAUCAGUUACAUGUUAAUUUGAGACUUGUGGGUUUCCUCACGAUGUUUUGUUUAAUUGUACCAGGGAUGAACUUAUGCGCAUAUAGAAAAACCA